UACGAGGGGGGGCGAGCGUUGUUCGGAAUUAUUGGGCGUAAAGGGUGCGUAGGCGGUUUGGUAAGUCUUUUGUGAAAUCUCUGGGCUCAACUCAGAGUCUGCAAGGGAAACUGCCGGGCUGGAGUGUGGGAGAGGUGAGUGGAAUUUCCGGUGUAGCGGUGAAAUGCGUAGAUAUCGGAAGGAACACCUGUGGCGAAAGCGGCUCACUGGACCACAACUGACGCUGAUGCACGAAAGCUAGGGGAGCAAACGGG
rnacentral:rRNA from 1 species